GCGUUCGUGGUGUAGUGGUCAGCAUGACCGACGCGUAACCGAGAGGUCCGUGGUUCGAUUCCCGGCGAAGGCG
rnacentral:tRNA from 1 species